AGAGUUUGAUCCUGGCUCAGGAUGAACGCUAGCUACAGGCUUAACACAUGCAAGUCGAGGGGCAGCAUGGUCUUAGCUUGCUAAGGCCGAUGGCGACCGGCGCACGGGUGAGUAACACGUAUCCAACCUGCCGUCUACUCUUGGACAGCCUUCUGAAAGGAAGAUUAAUACAAGAUGGCAUCAUGAGUCCACAUGUUCACAUGAUUAAAGGUAUUCCGGUAGACGAUGGGGAUGCGUUCCAUUAGAUAGUAGGCGGGGUAACGGCCCACCUAGUCUUCGAUGGAUAGGGGUUCUGAGAGGAAGGUCCCCCACAUUGGAACUGAGACACGGUCCAAACUCCUACGGGAGGCAGCAGUGAGGAAUAUUGGUCAAUGGACGAGAGUCUGAACCAGCCAAGUAGCGUGAAGGAUGACUGCCCUAUGGGUUGUAAACUUCUUUUAUAAAGGAAUAAAGUCGGGUAUGCAUACCCGUUUGCAUGUACUUUAUGAAUAAGGAUCGGCUAACUCCGUGCCAGCAGCCGCGGUAAUACGGAGGAUCCGAGCGUUAUCCGGAUUUAUUGGGUUUAAAGGGAGCGUAGAUGGAUGUUUAAGUCAGUUGUGAAAGUUUGCGGCUCAACCGUAAAAUUGCAGUUGAUACUGGAUAUCUUGAGUGCAGUUGAGGCAGGCGGAAUUCGUGGUGUAGCGGUGAAAUGCUUAGAUAUCACGAAGAACUCCGAUUGCGAAGGCAGCCUGCUAAGCUGCAACUGACAUUGAGGCUCGAAAGUGUGGGUAUCAAACAGGAUUAGAUACCCUGGUAGUCCACACGGUAAACGAUGAAUACUCGCUGUUUGCGAUAUACUGCAAGCGGCCAAGCGAAAGCGUUAAGUAUUCCACCUGGGGAGUACGCCGGCAACGGUGAAACUCAAAGGAAUUGACGGGGGCCCGCACAAGCGGAGGAACAUGUGGUUUAAUUCGAUGAUACGCGAGGAACCUUACCCGGGCUUGAAUUGCAACUGAAUGAUGUGGAGACAUGUCAGCCGCAAGGCAGUUGUGAAGGUGCUGCAUGGUUGUCGUCAGCUCGUGCCGUGAGGUGUCGGCUUAAGUGCCAUAACGAGCGCAACCCUUGUUGUCAGUUACUAACAGGUUAUGCUGAGGACUCUGACAAGACUGCCAUCGUAAGAUGUGAGGAAGGUGGGGAUGACGUCAAAUCAGCACGGCCCUUACGUCCGGGGCUACACACGUGUUACAAUGGGGGGUACAGAGGGCAGCUACCACGCGAGUGGAUGCCAAUCCCAAAAACCUCUCUCAGUUCGGACUGGAGUCUGCAACCCGACUCCACGAAGCUGGAUUCGCUAGUAAUCGCGCAUCAGCCACGGCGCGGUGAAUACGUUCCCGGGCCUUGUACACACCGCCCGUCAAGCCAUGGGAGCCGGGGGUACCUGAAGUGCGUAACCGCGAGGAGCGCCCUAGGGUAAAACUGGUGAUUGGGGCUAAGUCGUAACAAGGUAGCCGUACCGGAAGGUGCGGCUG
rnacentral:rRNA from 1 species